GGUCGAAGUCUUCACUACAGAACACGACCUGAAAUGUAGGCUAGUUCAAUGCUAUAGAGCUGAGAUGGGCAACUGGUGAUCCGACCUCUAGGCCCACUGAUCAACCCCCCCAAUUGCAACAUGUGUAGAAUUGCAGCAGGACAACAACCCAGACACACAUCUGAAAGCACCCAGGAAUGGUUCGAGAAUAAACACUGGAGUGGCCAGCGAUGAGUCCAGAUCUGAAUCAUAAACCUGUGGCAAGAUCUGAAAACAGCAGUUAGUGGAUGACCCCACUCAACACUGAAGAACUGUAACAGUUUGCAGCUGAAGACUGGGCCAAAUUGGCAGUAGAAAGGUGCAGCAAGUUCAUCUUCGCCAAAGACUGUUUAAUCAGGUGGUGUCGUUUGCUCGUCUCCGUUGCCUGCUCUCACCCCUCUCUCCGCCUCUAGCCAAGCUGCCUCCAACCAACUGGUGAUCUCCAACCAAGCUGCCUCUAGCCAAGCUGCCUCCAACCAACUGGUGAUCUCCAACCAAGCUGCCUCUAGACAAGCUGCGUCCAACCAACUGGUGAUCUCCAAUCUCUCCCCAGCUACAGCUACAUCACGAAUAUAAUGACUUGUCCCCACCCCCUUUUCACUCUCGCUUCCCUGCUCUCCCUCUCCUCCCUUGGCCGACUAAAAAUAGCACCUCCAUCCCAUUCUGUGGCUGAGCAUAAUCAUGUGCAAAAUUGAUUUCAUGAAUGUACAGUGUAGGAGAAACAAGGAGUUGGGGAGAGGAAUAGAGAGAACAAGAGGAGGUUAGACAAGGGAGGAAGAGGAGGAAAGAGGCUGCAUUUAGAGAGGAGGAGAGACAUCACGAGGAGGAGAGAUAUCGUGAGGAGGAGAGAUAUUGUGAGGAGGAGAGGAGGAGAGAUAUCAUGAGGAGGAGAGAUAUCAUGAGGAGGAGAGGAGAGAUAUUGUGAGGAGGAUAGGUUAAUGGGCCCUGGCAUUCAACACAGGGCAGAGAUGCAAUAUGGCUCAGCCCUAUUCUACUGUUCUCCUACUCCAUGUAGGAACAACAUUACAGUCAUUUAGCAGAUGCUCUGAUCCAGAGCAACUACCAACUGAGCCACAGUUGUGAAAUGUUAUUAUUCCACAUAACUGUUUACAUGAAGUCAAAUCAGAAGAACACCUCCCUUAGCACCCAUAGUUGCCAUAGUUUCCUUAUGAUAAAGAUGUCAUAACAGAAACAUUAUUGAACAUCUACUGAACAUCUACUGAACAUCUAUUGAACAUCUACUGAACAUGUACCGAACCAUCUACUGAAUAUGUACUGAACCAUCUAUUGAUGAUCUACUGAACAUCUACUGAACAUCUACUAAAACAUCUACUAAAACAUCUACUGAACAUCUACUGAACAUCUACUGAACAUCUACUAAAACAUCUACUGAACAUCUACUGAACAUCUACUGAACAUCUACUAAAACAUCUACUGAACAUCUACUGAACAUCCACUAAAACAUCUACUAAAACAUCUACUGAACAUCUACUGAACAUCUACUGAACAUCUACUAAAACAUCUACUGAACAUCUACUGAACAUCUACUAAACAUCUACUAAAACAUCUACUGAACAUCUACUGAACAUCUACUAAAACAUCUACUAAAACAUCUACUGAACAUCUACUAAAACAUCUACUAAAACAUCUACUGAACAUCUACUGAACAUCUACUUGGGAAUAUCCAAGUAAAGGUUUACCAAACAUCCCUCAGGGAAUGAAACAGGGAAUGAAACAGGCAAAAUAAAUAUAGCAGUGAGACUCAUCAUAAACAUGAAUACAAUCAUUUUAGACUUGUAGACAGACAGCAUAGGGUUGAAGAUUAAGAUUAAAAUAACACCGGCUGGAUGUCAUGCUUUCCACAAACAAACACAACAAAAUUCCAUCAAAACUCUAUACAUAAUUAGAUACUAUCUGCCGCCAUUGUCGCAACCCCUAUUAUCAGCCUGUUCAACCUCUCUUUCAUAUCGUCUGAGAUCCCCAAGAAUUGGAAAGCUGCCGCAGUCAUCCCUCUCUUCAAAGGG